rnacentral:rRNA from 1 species
UACGGAGGGUGCAAGCGUUGUCCGGAAUCACUGGGCGUAAAGGGCGCGUAGGCGGCUCAUGAAGGCUGUGGUGAAAGUCCGGGGCUCAACCUCGGAUCGGCCGUGGCGACUCGUGGGCUGGAGCACUGUAGAGGCGGGUGGAAUUCCGGGUGUAGCGGUGGAAUGCGUAGAGAUCCGGAAGAACACCAGUGGCGAAGGCGGCUCGCUGGACAUGUAUUGACGCUGAGGUGCGAAAGCGUGGGGAGCAAACAGG